rnacentral:tRNA from 1 species
GGGGGCGUAGCUCAGUUGGUAGAGCGUUCGCUUUGCAUGUGAAAUGUCCCGGGUUCAAGCCCCGGUGCCUCCA